AUACACAAGGCCCAAUACUUCUUGGCCCAGAUUCGGGGCUUUACAAUUCUACCCCCUUAAAGAAAUUUCGUCCUCAAAAUUUCCAACAUCUGAACAAGCACUUAGCUCAUCUACACCACUACGCUCCCGCUGCGCACUCUAGUUCCAAACUACACUAAUACACUUUUAACUUAAUCUCAAAACCUCUCACACCCAACCAAACAUCUAACCACAGAAGCAAGCAGAUAUUUUGUAACACCCCAAACCCGGCCUAGACGUUAUGACCGGAUCCGGUG
rnacentral:lncRNA from 1 species